ensembl:snoRNA
GGUCCUAAGGAGUGACUUUGUGAUUAUGGAAAAUAUAAUAGAUUGAAGUGUUUAUGCUUGUGGGAUAGAUUAACAAUGCCUUGAUGUGAAGGGAGAGGAUUGUUUUUUUUGUCCUCAUCCUAUAUGAAAUGGCUGCACAUUAAAAA